CGGGGUGUAGCGCAGUCUGGUAGCGUACUUGCAUGGGGUGCAAGUGGUCGUGGGUUCAAAUCCCGACACUCCGA
rnacentral:tRNA from 1 species